rnacentral:rRNA from 1 species
CAUAGGUUAAUGAGGCGAACCGGGGGAACUGAAACAUCUAAGUACCCCGAGGAAAAGAAAUCAACCGAGAUUCCCCCAGUAGCGGCGAGCGAACGGGGAGCAGCCCAGAGCCUGAAUCAGUGUGUGUGUUAGUGGAAGCGUCUGGAAAGGCGCGCGAUACAGGGUGACAGCCCCGUACACAAAAAUGCACAUACUGUGAGCUCGAUGAGUAGGGCGGGACACGUGGUAUCCUGUCUGAAUAUGGGGGGACCAUCCUCCAAGGCUAAAUACUCCUGACUGACCGAUAGUGAACCAGUACCGUGAGGGAAAGGCGAAAAGAACCCCGGCGAGGGGAGUGAAAAAGAACCUGAAACCGUGUACGUACAAGCAGUGGGAGCACGCUUAGGCGUGUGACUGCGUACCUUUUGUAUAAUGGGUCAGCGACUUAUAUUCUGUAGCAAGGUUAACCGAAUAGGGGAGCCGAAGGGAAACCGAGUCUUAACUGGGCGUUAAGUUGCAGGGUAUAGACCCGAAACCCGGUGAUCUAGCCAUGGGCAGGUUGAAGGUUGGGUAACACUAACUGGAGGACCGAACCGACUAAUGUUGAAAAAUUAGCGGAUGACUUGUGGCUGGGGGUGAAAGGCCAAUCAAACCGGGAGAUAGCUGGUUCUCCCCGAAAGCUAUUUAGGUAGCGCCUCGUGAAUUCAUCUCCGGGGGUAGAGCACUGUUUCGGCAAGGGGGUCAUCCCGACUUACCAACCCGAUGCAAACUGCGAAUACCGGAGAAUGUUAUCACGGGAGACACACGGCGGGUGCUAACGUCCGUCGUGAAGAGGGAAACAACCCAGACCGCCAGCUAAGGUCCCAAAGUCAUGGUUAAGUGGGAAACGAUGUGGGAAGGCCCAGACAGCCAGGAUGUUGGCUUAGAAGCAGCCAUCAUUUAAAGAAAGCGUAAUAGCUCACUGGUCGAGUCGGCCUGCGCGGAAGAUGUAACGGGGCUAAACCAUGCACCGAAGCUGCGGCAGCGACGCUGAUGCGUUGUUGGGUAGGGGAGCGUUCUGUAAGCCUGUGAAGGUGU